AGGAUGAACGCUGGCGGCGUGCUUAACACAUGCAAGUCGAGCGGAAAGGCCUUUCGGGGUACUCGAGCGGCGAACGGGUGAGUAACACGUGAGUAAUCUGCCCAUCGCUUCAGGAUAGCCAUCGGAAACGGUGAUUAAUACUGGAUAUGACAUUCCUUAGCAUGUUGGGGUGUGGAAAGUUUUUUCGGCGGUGGAUGUGCUCGCGGCCUAUCAGCUUGGUUGGUGGGGUAAUGGCCUACCAAGGCUUUGGACGGGUAGCCGGCCUGAGG
rnacentral:rRNA from 1 species